rnacentral:lncRNA from 1 species
GGGGUUUCGGGACUAGGGUUUCUGCCGUGUAAUACCUCCUCGAGGCAGAAAAAUUCUACUUUCCAUCUGCUUGGCUGCGGAGGACCUUGGGGUGGGCUCAGCGUGGGGGCUGCAGGCAGAAAUGGGUCCAGAAGGCAAGGUCGAGGUUAGAGCCAAGCCUGUGGGCAGGGCUACGGGCAGGGGGCGGGGAGGAAUGUGGGUCCAGGCCCAGAGGAAAAGGUUGAAGUUAUAGCCAGGCCUGUGGGCGAGGCCGCAGCAGGGCGGCCAUAGGGGAAGGAGCCAAUGUGUUAUGCAUGUAGAAAAUAGACAAAAUCUCACUCUGUCACCAAGGCUGGAGUUCAGUGGAGCCAUCUCAGCUCACUGCAACCUCCACCUCCCAGGUUCAAGCGAUUCUCCUGCCUCAUCCUCCCAAGUAGCUGGAAUUACAGGUGCAUGCUGCCACACCCUGCUAAUUUUUGUAUUUUUAGUAGAGGCAGGGUUUUGCCAUGCUGGCCAGGCUGGUCUUGAACUACUUGUCAGGCCUCUGAGCCCAAGUUAAAUCAUCAUAAACCCUGUCACCUGCACGUAUACAUCCAGAUGGCCUGGAGCAACUGAAGAACCACAAAAGAAGUGAAACAGCCAGUUCCUGCCUUAACUGAUGACGUUCCACCAUUGUGAUUUGUUGCUGCCCCACCCCAACUGAUCUCUUGACCUUGUGACAUUCUUCUUCUGGACGAGUCUCAGGAGUUCCCCACCGAGCACCUUGUGACCCCCGGCCCUGCCAGCAAAAGAUAACCACCUUUAACUUUCCACUACCUACCCAAAUCCUAUAAAACUGCCCCACCCCUAUCUCCCUUUGCUGACCCCUUUCUCGGACUCAGCCCACUUGCACCCAAGUGAAUAAACAGCCUUGUUGCUAACACAAA